CCUACGGGGUGCAGCAGUGAGGAAUAUUGGUCAAUGGUCGGGAGACUGAACCAGCCAAGCCGCGUGAGGGAUGAAGGUACAGAGUAUCGUCAACCUCUUUUGUCAGGGAACAAAGGCGGGGACGCGUCCCCGGAUGAGUGUACCUGAAGAAAAAGCAUCGGCUAACUCCGUGCCAGCACCCGCGGUAAUCCGGGGGAUGCGAGCGUUAUCCGGUUUUAUUGGGUUUAAAGGGUGCGAAGGCGGUCUGUUAAGCCAGCGGUAAAACCCCGGGGACAACCCCCGGCCCGCCGUUGACACUGGCAGUCUCGAGUUGGAGAGAAGUAUGCGGAAUGCGCGGUGUAGCGGUGAAAUGCAUAGAUAGCGCGCAGAACUCCGAUUGCGAAGGCAGCAUGCCGGCUCCACACUGACGCUGAGGCACGAAAGCGUGGGUAUCGAACAGGAUUAGAUACCCUAGUAGUC
rnacentral:rRNA from 1 species